ACACACACACACACACACACACGGAAGCAUUUCCCCUGAUAUAGUUGUUUUAAUUUUGUUAAUUUAAUCUAUUUUUACAUUAUUUCCAUGAGAAUAUUUUUCACAACCUAGCCAUCCAGUGUCCUAUGAAUACAUUACUUCGCUCCAACUCUUCUUUUGUCUCUGAGUUGAUAAUUGUCUUAGUCCUCAUUUGCUUGAUUUUCUAUACACCUAUUACCCAUUUCUUUUCCAGAGUCUCUGCUGGAAAUGUUACUCUACUCUCAAUAUAUUCCAGCACCUCAGGUCACCCCUUUGUAUGUCACCCGAGGUUAAGUUAUGAUGUGGUAACAUACGGCCCCAACACCUCGCUGGCUUCCAACAAGAAACAUGUCUCCUCCGGCGUGUUACAUGUCCCUCAUGGGUUGCCUGGAGCUCUGUGCUGCGCCUCAUCUUUGUCCCCGGACCCAGGGGAUGGAGCAGCUUUUGUCUGGAGCAUCACCAGUGUCAAGCCAGAGGAGAAGAGGAUGCGGCUAACCAGAGAUGACCCUCACGCUGCUGCUCCGAAGUGACACGUGUCUCUUCUGCCCACAUUCCAAUCACCAAAGCAGGUCACGUAGCCACUCUUAAGUUCGUUCCAUAUCUAAACUUUGGUUGUGUAUAAAAUUCUGGUUUGGAGAAAGUUUUCCUUCAGCAUUUUGAAUGCAUUGCUGUAUUGCCUUCUACCUUUUAGUGUCGCUGUUGGGAAACUAAUGCAAUUCUGAUUCUUGAA